UACAGUGUGAUUAGACCAGGGCUGAUAUUUAGACUACAGUGUGAUUAUACCAGGGCUGAUGUUAGACCAGGGCUCAUGUUUCAGACUACAGUGUGAUUAGACCAGGGUGAGUUUAGACUACAGUGUGAUUAACCAGGGCUGAUGUUUAGGCUACAGUGUGGUUAGACCAGGCUGAUGUUUAGGCUACAGUGUGAUUUUAGGACCAGUGGUGAGUUUAGCGUACAUUAAUACA
rnacentral:lncRNA from 1 species